ACAGCAUGCUGUGUGAUGACUGCCAGGGGACUAAGAAGAGCCUGGAUGAGCACUGUGGCAGCCCCAGGACCCUGAGCAGAGUUCACAGCAGCCCAGGAAAUCCAUCUCCCCUUGCUGCUGGAGGAUGCGAUGCUGGCCUUGCUGGCAUGGCCACCAUGGCUCACAGCAGCCCUCAGGGGGCAUUUAAGGCAUGUGAAUGAUUGCUGUAUUUGAGGAUUCUACCUACAUCUGCAGAUUCAACCAACAUCAGACAAAAAUCUUUAAGAAAAAUUCACUAAAGAUUAUACCUUUGAAGAAAAGACUGCAGCUACUGGCCACCUGCUGUAACUUGGGUCUGGGAUGUGGCCCCUGGCCCAUGAUUGCAAGACUGUCUUAAGCCUGGUAUUGCUGAGAUGUGGUGGAGCCUUUAAGAUGGAGGACCCAAAAGGUACCUGUGUAUGUUUGGGGUUGUGGUGGUUGGAGGUGGUGGGACCCAUCUCUC